CUGACCUCAAAUCAGGUAGGACUACCCGCUGAACUUAAGCAUAUCAAUAAGCGGAGGAAAAGAAACUAACAAGGAUUCCCCUAGUAACUGCGAGUGAAGCGGGAUAAGCUCA
rnacentral:rRNA from 1 species